UGAAGAGUUUGAUCAUGGCUCAGAUUGAACGCUGGCGGCAGGCCUAACACAUGCAAGUCGAACGGUAACAGGAAGCAGCUUGCUGCUUUGCUGACGAGUGGCGGACGGGUGAGUAAUGUCUGGGAAACUGCCUGAUGGAGGGGGAUAACUACUGGAAACGGUGGCUAAUACCGCAUAACGUCGCAAGACCAAAGAGGGGGACCUUCGGGCCUCUUGCCAUCAGAUGUGCCCAGAUGGGAUUAGCUUGUUGGUGAGGUAACGGCUCACCAAGGCGACGAUCCCUAGCUGGUCUGAGAGGAUGACCAGCCACACUGGAACUGAGACACGGUCCAGACUCCUACGGGAGGCAGCAGUGGGGAAUAUUGCACAAUGGGCGCAAGCCUGAUGCAGCCAUGCCGCGUGUAUGAAGAAGGCCUUCGGGUUGUAAAGUACUUUCAGCGGGGAGGAAGGUGUUGUGGUUAAUAACCGCAGCAAUUGACGUUACCCGCAGAAGAAGCACCGGCUAACUCCGUGCCAGCAGCCGCGGUAAUACGGAGGGUGCAAGCGUUAAUCGGAAUUACUGGGCGUAAAGCGCACGCAGGCGGUCUGUCAAGUCGGAUGUGAAAUCCCCGGGCUCAACCUGGGAACUGCAUUCGAAACUGGCAGGCUUGAGUCUUGUAGAGGGGGGUAGAAUUCCAGGUGUAGCGGUGAAAUGCGUAGAGAUCUGGAGGAAUACCGGUGGCGAAGGCGGCCCCCUGGACAAAGACUGACGCUCAGGUGCGAAAGCGUGGGGAGCAAACAGGAUUAGAUACCCUGGUAGUCCACGCCGUAAACGAUGUCUACUUGGAGGUUGUGCCCUUGAGGCGUGGCUUCCGGAGCUAACGCGUUAAGUAGACCGCCUGGGGAGUACGGCCGCAAGGUUAAAACUCAAAUGAAUUGACGGGGGCCCGCACAAGCGGUGGAGCAUGUGGUUUAAUUCGAUGCAACGCGAAGAACCUUACCUGGUCUUGACAUCCACAGAACUUUCCAGAGAUGGAUUGGUGCCUUCGGGAACUGUGAGACAGGUGCUGCAUGGCUGUCGUCAGCUCGUGUUGUGAAAUGUUGGGUUAAGUCCCGCAACGAGCGCAACCCUUAUCCUUUGUUGCCAGCGGUCCGGCCGGGAACUCAAAGGAGACUGCCAGUGAUAAACUGGAGGAAGGUGGGGAUGACGUCAAGUCAUCAUGGCCCUUACGACCAGGGCUACACACGUGCUACAAUGGCGCAUACAAAGAGAAGCGACCUCGCGAGAGCAAGCGGACCUCAUAAAGUGCGUCGUAGUCCGGAUUGGAGUCUGCAACUCGACUCCAUGAAGUCGGAAUCGCUAGUAAUCGUGGAUCAGAAUGCCACGGUGAAUACGUUCCCGGGCCUUGUACACACCGCCCGUCACACCAUGGGAGUGGGUUGCAAAAGAAGUAGGUAGCUUAACCUUCGGGAGGGCGCUUACCACUUUGUGAUUCAUGACUGGGGUGAAGUCGUAACAAGGUAACCGUAGG
rnacentral:rRNA from 1 species